rnacentral:rRNA from 1 species
CCAGAGACGAAGAAGGGCGUAGUAAGCGACGAAACGCUUCGGUUAGCUGCGAACAAGCAUACCCGAAGAUUCCCGAAUGGGGUAACCUAUAAUACUACUGUUGAAUAUAUAGACAGAAAGAGUUAACCUGGCGAACUGAAACAUCUUAGUAGCCAGAGGAAAAGAAAGCAAAAGCGAUUUCCUUAGUAGUGGCGAGCGAAACGGAAUCAGCCUAAACCAUCUAUUUUAGGUGGGGUUGUGGGGGAGUAUCAUAAUAUACACUUGACUAGGUGAAAUAAUUGAAUGUUAUACCAUAGAUGGUAAAAGUCCAGUAACUUAAAGUUUUUUGUAUAUUUAACUCUAACCCGAGUAGCAUGAGGCACGUGAAACCUUGUGUGAAUCAGCGAGGACCACCUCGUAAGGCUAAAUACUCCUGGGUGACCGAUAGUGAAGUAGUACCGUGAGGGAAAGGUGAAAAGAACCCCCACUGGGGAGUGAAAUAGAUAAUGAAACCGUAAGCCUACAAGCAGUGGGAGGAAAAUAUAAUUUCUGACCGCGUGCCUGUUGAAGAAUGAGCCGGCGACUUAUAGGCAGUGGCCUGGUUAAGGAUUUACCGAAGCCAUAGCGAAAGCAAGUCAUACCAAGGCGAAUGUCACUGUUUAUGGACCCGAACCCGGGUGAUCUAUCCAUGGCCAGGAUGAAGUUUGGGUGAAACCAAAUGGAGGUCCGAACCGACUGGUGUUGAAAAACCAACGGAUGAGCUGUGGAUAGGGGUGAAAUGCCACUCGAACUCGGAGCUAGCUGGUUCUCCCCGAAAUGCGUUGAGGCGCAGCGGUUGACUAGACUAUUUAGGGGUAAAGCACUGUUUCGGUGCGGGCUGUGAAAACGGUACCAAAUUGAUGCAAACUCUGAAUACUAAAUAUGAACAAAUGUCAGCCAGUGAGACGGUGGGGGAUAAGCUCCAUCGUCGAAAGGGAAACAGCCCAGAUCACCAGUUAAGGCCCCUAAAUGACCGCUAAGUGAUAAAGGAUGUGAGAGUGCAAAGACAGCCAGGAGGUUUGCCUAGAAGCAGCUACCCUUGAAAGAGUGCGUAAUAGCUCACUGAUCGAGCGCUCUUGCGCCGAAGAUGAAUGGGACUAAGCGGUCUGCCGAAGCUGUGAGAUGUUUAAAUAUAACAUCGGUAGGGGAGCGUUCCGCAUUAGGUUGAAGCACUAGCGUAAGCGAAUGUGGACAAAGCGGAAGUGAGAAUGUCGGCUUGAGUAACGCAAACACUGGUGAGAAUCCAGUGCCCCGAAAACCCAAGGAUUCCUACGGAAGGUUCGUCCGCGUAGGGUGAGUCAGAACCUAAGGUAAAGCCAAACGGCGUAGUCGAUGGAUAACAGGUUAAUAUUCCUGUACUACUUAUUUUUUGCCAUAGAGGGACGAAGAAGGUAAAGGGUAACUAACAACGGUAAUUAGCUUCAAAGGUACUAAACACCUGACUAAGUAGUAUUUGUUGAUAAGACAAAUAUGAUUAUCUAUACCAUGCUUCCAAGAAAAGCUUAAUUGGCUAUAAAAAAUAAGUAUCUGUACCUAAAACCGACACAGGUGGGUAGGUUGAGAAUACCUAGGGGCGCGAGAUAACUCUCUCUAAGGAACUCGGCAAUAUAGCCCCGUAACUUCGGGAUAAGGGGUGCCUCCUUCAACAAGAGGUCGCAGUGACCAGGCCCAGGCGACUGUUUAACAAAAACACAGGUCUCCGCAAAGUCGCAAGACGACGUAUGGGGGCUGACGCCUGCCCAGUGCCGGAAGGUUAAGGAAGUUAGUGACUCGAAGUCGAGAAAGCUGGCAACCGAAGCCCCGGUGAACGGCGGCCGUAACUAUGACGGUCCUAAGGUAGCGAAAUUCCUUGUCGGGUAAGUUCCGACCCGCACGAAAGGCGUAACGAUCUGGGCACUGUCUCGGAGAGAGACUCGGUGAAAUAGACUUGUCUGUGAAGAUGCGGACUACCUGCACCUGGACAGAAAGACCCUAUGAAGCUUUACUGUUCCCUGGGAUUGGGUUUGGGCCUCUUUUGCGCAGUUUAGGUGGGAGGUUAAGACGACAUUUUUCCGGAAGUGUUCGAGCCGUCCAUGAGACACCACCCUAAAGAGGCUAAGAUUCUAACUCCUGGCCUAGAAGAAGGUUAGGGGAACAUUCUCAGGUAGACAGUUUCUAUGGGGCGUAGGCCUCCUAAAGAGUAACGGAGGCGUGCAAAGGUUCCCUCGGGCUGGACGGAAAUCAGUCUUCGAGUGCAAAGGCAGAAGGGAGCUUGACUGCAAGACUUACACGUCGAGCAGGGACGAAAGUCGGCCUUAGUGAUCCGACGGUACCGAGUGGAAGGGCCGUCGCUCAACGGAUAAAAGUUACUCUAGGGAUAACAGGCUGAUCUUCCCCAAGAGUUCACAUCGACGGGAAGGUUUGGCACCUCGAUGUCGGCUCUUCGCCACCUGGCGCGGUAGUACGUGCCAAGGGUUGGGCUGUUCGCCCAUUAAAGCGGUACGUGAGCUGGGUUCAGAACGUCGUGAGACAGUUUGGUCCAUAUCCGGUGCAGGCGUUAGAGUAUUGAAAGGUACCCUUCUUAGUACGAGAGGACCGGAAGGGACGCACCACUGGUGUACCAGUUAUUGUGCCAACGGUAUACGCUGGGUAGCCAAGCGCGGAGCGGAUAACUGCUGAAAGCAUCUAAGUAGG